UACGUAGGGUGCAAGCGUUGUCCGGAAUUAUUGGGCGUAAAGAGCUCGUAGGCGGUCUGUCGCGUCGGCUGUGAAAACCCGGAGCUCAACUCCGGGCCUGCAGUCGAUACGGGCAAACUGGAGUGUUGCAGGGGAGACUGGAAUUCCUGGUGUAGCGGUGAAAUGCGCAGAUAUCAGGAGGAACACCGGUGGCGAAGGCGGCAUCCUGGACCAACACUGACGCUGAGGAGCGAAAGCCAGGGGAGCAAACGGG
rnacentral:rRNA from 1 species